rnacentral:rRNA from 1 species
AUUGAACGCUGGCGGCAUGCCUUACACAUGCAAGUCGAACGGCAGCACGGGUGCUUGCACCUGGUGGCGAGUGGCGAACGGGUGAGUAAUACAUCGGAACAUGUCCUGUAGUGGGGGAUAGCCCGGCGAAAGCCGGAUUAAUACCGCAUACGAUCCACGGAUGAAAGCGGGGGACCUUCGGGCCUCGCGCUAUAGGGUUGGCCGAUGGCUGAUUAGCUAGUUGGUGGGGUAAAGGCCUACCAAGGCGACGGUCAGUAGCUGGUCUGAGAGGACGACCAGCCACACUGGGACUGAGACACGGCCCAGACUCCUACGGGAGGCAGCAGUGGGGAAUUUUGGACAAUGGGCGAAAGCCUGAUCCAGCAAUGCCGCGUGUGUGAAGAAGGCCUUCGGGUUGUAAAGCACUUUUGUCCGGAAAGAAAUCCUUGGCUCUAAUACAGUCGGGGGAUGACGGUACCGGAAGAAUAAGCACCGGCUAACUACGUG